UACGGAGGGGGCGAGCGUUGUCCGAAGUUACUGGGCGUAAAGGGCGCGUAGGCGGCCUUCUAAGUCGAACGUGAAAUCCCCGGGCUCAACCCGGGAACUGCGUCCGAUACUGGGAGGCUUGAAUCCGGGAGAGGGAUGCGGAAUUCCAGGUGUAGCGGUGAAAUGCGUAGAUAUCUGGAGGAACACCGGUGGCGAAGGCGGCAUCCUGGACCGGCAUUGACGCUGAGGCGCGAAAGCCAGGGGAGCAAACGGG
rnacentral:rRNA from 1 species